GACGAACGCUGGCGGCGUGCUUAACACAUGCAAGUCGAACGGAAAGGCCCUGCUUUUGUGGGGUGCUCGAGUGGCGAACGGGUGAGUAACACGUGAGUAACCUGCCCUUGACUUUGGGAUAACUUCAGGAAACUGGGGCUAAUACCGGAUAGGAGCUCCUGCUGCAUGGUGGGGGUUGGAAAGUUUCGGCGGUUGGGGAUGGACUCGCGGCUUAUCAGCUUGUUGGUGGGGUAGUGGCUUACCAAGGCUUUGACGGGUAGCCGGCCUGAGAGGGUGACCGGCCACAUUGGGACUGAGAGACGGCCCAGACUCCUACGGUAGGCAGCGGUGGGGAAUAUUGCACAAUGGGCGGAAGCCUGAUGCAGCAACGCCGCGUGCGGGAUGACGGCCUUCGGGUUGUAAACCGCUUUCGCCUGUUACGAAGCGUGAGUGACGGUAAUGGGUAAAGAAGCACCGGCUAACUACGUG
rnacentral:rRNA from 1 species